AGGAUCUAUCCACCCAGUGUAACUACCGGGCUCUUGGCUUUUACUGGGGAGUGUCUUUAAAGAGUACUGUGAUGUGAUCCAUCUUCAGAUCUCUCAGCUGUGGACACUGGAACCUACUCUUGUGGAGGAAGCAGCUCCCCAUUCUGAACACCAGCAUCAUGCAUCCUUUGCUCUGUUCUAGGCACAACAAUCAAAAGUGCUUAUUCCCAAACUGGACCUGACUUCAGCCAGAGCAUUGCUGGGACAUAUAUAAAUCUACGUUUAAUAUUUGAAGACUUGCCAGACUGUUUCCUAAAACACCUGCAGCAUUUUACAUUCCCACCAGCAAAGUACGAAAAGCUUCCAAUUUCUCUACAUCCUCACCGACAAUCAGUUUUUUAUUUUAAAUGCUAUAGUUACAAAGAAAAGUUUUAGAAUGAAUUAAUGCUGUGAUUUUAAUCACAAAGAUUAAUUUUGCAAUAAAAAUCCCUGAUAAUUAUGAUUAUAUGUGUGUGUUUGUAUUUCAACUGAGAAUUGAAGGUUGAGAACUUGGAUUGAGACUAUAUUUGAAAGGUAAAUUUCUUUC
rnacentral:lncRNA from 1 species